AUGCCGCGGUCGAGGAGAGGAGGUUGGCGGCCGAGGAGAGGAGGGUGGCCGCCGAGGAGAGGAAAGUGGCAUUGGAGGAGAGGAAGGUGGGCAUGGAGGAGCGAUAUAGAUUGUUGGAAUGGGAGGAGCACUUAUUCUUCUUGGACACAUCUUCGUUCAAUGGUGCGCAAAAGGAAUAUGUCAACCUUGCCCGUGAAGAAGUCUUGA
rnacentral:rRNA from 1 species